GGUGCCUCCAUUAGUGUAGUGGUUAUCACAUCUGCUUUACACGCAGAGGGUCCUGGGUUCGAGCCCCCGUGGAACCA
rnacentral:tRNA from 1 species